GCAUGGCGAGAGAGAGCAUGCCUUCACCUGGGGAAGGAGCAGCACCUGCAGCUCGCCGAUGAAGCGUGGGAUGGUUUUUAGUACCCCUCUAUUUACCCCAUGGAAAAGGGAGGCUGGGCAUAGAAAAUAUUUGUGGCUCCUUCCCUGUUGUGGCACUUUGGCCUCUGCUCGUGCUGCAGGAGAGCACCCAAAUGUGGCAUCUUGCCGCAAACUGCCCAGGUGCCCACAUAAACCUGAAGAAAAACAACUUGGGCUUGUGCUCCACCUGAACCAGAGCCUCCAUCCCCACCACUGUUUGCAUUCACUGCACACCUGUGCAAAGCCCUGUAGGCUGCUGGUGACUUACUGCUGCGUAUGACAGAGGUCUUGUGGGCUUCAAAAUCCAUCUGGAGGCCGUGCUCAGCGAGCCGUUGAGUGAAUACCCUGAAAAGUUGCCUAGAGGUCUGUAGGUACCUGCCUUGAGACACUCCUGUCAGCACGCAGCCAGCUGGCUCUGACGUUCGCAGUCGGGAUAAAAGUGCUGCAGAUUGCUGAGGAGAGAAAAUGGCUCGGAGGCUGGAGGAGAGAGAAAUGAAAUGGAAGGAUCUCCAGGUGGAGCCUGUAAAAGAGCACACCGGAGAGCUGGGUGCUUCUGCAGAGGCUGAGUCUGGGACCAAGCCACAGCACCGGAGCUCCAGCAUGCCCGGGGAGCAUCAGCGUGGUGCCAGCAGAUGCAGAAGUGAUGAAGGAUGGCAGGGAGGGCCAGCUCCCCCGGCUAAUCUCCUUCGGGGACCAAUCUUGUUACAGACGGAGCAAGGAAUCCCUGUGUAAAAACACUGCAUUACGAAAUGGCUUGCAUUUCUGGAGCGAGAGCAGACACUGCAGUUUGGAGACUCGGCAGCUUCAUCCAUAAUGGCCCAAACACUCUAUAAAUGUUGAUAAGUUGAUACUUGUGCAUCCAAAAAACACAGCUCUUCAUGUGGGGCCUGGCUGCACCCAGACCCUCAGGACCCUCAUUUUAUGUCUGGCAGGCUCUAGCAGUCAAUUAGCACUUUACUCUGGUCCAGCCUCUUGCUCUCAGCUCUGUGCACCAAGGGUGACGCCAGCUCAGCACAGCCCACUGCUCUGGGCUGCUGAAAUCCCAGCCUCUUGCAGAGAAGCAGGGAGAGCCAAGGUAUGAGAAAGAGGUUAUUCCCCUGGAUUUACAGCCUCUCCAAAAUCUCUACAGCUCUGAUACCAUCUCAUUUAUUUAUUUAUUUAUUUAUUUGUACAAGCACGCACAGUGGGUACGGUUCAUUCACUGUAUGAAGCUGUAACCUAAUCCAUCCUUCUCCUUCAAGGGUGGCACACCCAAAGCCCCAGUUAUUCAGCCCCACUUCUCCUCCUGGCAUGCCGUGUUUAUUACUGGCUGUCUUCUGACUAUCACAACAAAUUCAGAUAUGAACUCGGUGAUGGGCUUCAUGGGGCAGAGAAGACAAUUAUAAGGAGCAGAAAUAGCCCACGUACACAGCGGGAAGAGCUCUCUGAUUCAGAGCCCUUAUUAUAGAUCAGAGUCCGUAAGAUUCAAAGUCCAUAUAGACCAUCACAGACUGUAUUUCUUCUGAAUUUUGCCUUGGCAAGUAGAAAAAGACCUGUCUGUCAUAGAAACAGAUUUAUUUAACCCUUGCUAGUUUGUUGUGAACCAGUGUAGUAGAAAGAGAGCGGUCUGAAGCUGGGGCCAGGUUAAAGAGGAACAGACUGGUACAGAGAUUUUUAGAUCUGGAUUCUGCAGCAGCAACUGGGUGACUUGAGGAGGAUCGGUGGGGAAGCUCCAGAGACGGCUGCACUAAUUGUAUCUUGGCCCUGAAAACAGAUCCCCAGGCAGAAAAUGAAGCCAUCUAGUUCUGUCCGUGGGUAUCAGCUCACUCUCUGCUUUCCCUGUACACUGGUGAGGCUGUCUUCAUAAGCAGAGGGGUUCGUCACUGAGGAUACAACAUACCCUGAAAGCCAUUUCUGCUCAAACCCAUUCCCUUUCCAACAGGAUCACUCCGAAUCCUUGGGAAGCCCCUGCUGCUGUGGCAAUGUAUCUGACCAGUUGCUCCCAUUAGAGGGCAUUUAUGUUUGUUGUUUCCUCUUUGCUGCUUUCCAUCAGAGAUUUGCACACCUCGCUGCCCAAGCCCGAGAGCUCAUCAAUGCCAUGAUAUGUUUGUGAGGCCCGUCAAAGCACUGGGAUUAGAGGCUUCACAAGCCACCAGUUUUCUGCUGAACGCUUCCCCAACUUUGCCGUCAAAUCUGCAACAGCCUCGACCCAAUUUCAUCUCUCUCUGCCACUCAACCCGAGACAACAGCGUAGGAUUUAUUAUGCUGGGACUUGUGCUCCUGAGCGUGAGGACAUUCCCGUUAUCAGUGGUUGACAGGCCAUCACGAAAACACUGCUGUCAAAGCAACGAGCUGGCGGCGAGCAUUUCCCCAAACCCCUGUUUGUCUGCAAACGGCAGCGAAAGAGCAGCUCCUGCUCAGGAAAGCAGCUCUCCAGCGGCUGCGGGGAAAUGUGGUCCCCCUGCCCAGGACAGGACCUGGUCCUGGUUUAUUAUUCUGUAGUAUUCCAGCACAGCUCGCCUCAUUUCCUCUCCAAAAGGCUCAGCCCCAGUGAUGAGGGAAUGGGAAACCCUCAUGCGAUGUUCACAGAUUUUAACAUUUGCCCUGAUGUCUCAAGCCACUCCUUAACCACUUUCCUCUUCUUCUGUACCAAGCCUCCUUGUUAAAAUUUAACACCGCCACUCUCAGCACGCUGCUUUUCUUGGCAGGGUGGCCGCAAUCGCUUCGGAUGAGGAUGUCCCUGCUAGAAUCACGUCAUCAGAAGCCCCGGUGCCACUGCAGCGGCGCUGAGCAGCAGCCCAGGUGCAUUAUCCACAGCUGAGUCCAGGCCAACCCUUACGGUGUGCCCCCGAGCCAGCCUGCCUAAAACGCGAUUGUUUAAAUGUCACAUCGGGAGCACCUCCGCCAGGAAGCACUGAGUGCAAAAA